rnacentral:rRNA from 1 species
UACGGAGGGUGCAAGCGUUAUCCGGAUUCACUGGGGUUAAAGGGUGCGUAGGUGGGCAGGUAAGUCAGUGGUGAAAUCUCCGGGCUUAACCCGGAAACUGCCAUUGAUACUAUCUGUCUUGAAUACCGUGGAGGUGAGCGGAAUAUGUCAUGUAGCGGUGAAAUGCUUAGAUAUGACAUAGAACACCAAUUGCGAAGGCAGCUCACUACACGAAUAUUGACACUGAGGCACGAAAGCGUGGGGAGCAAACAGG